rnacentral:rRNA from 1 species
UACCAGCACCCCGAGUGGUCGGGACGAUUAUUGGGCCUAAAGCCUCCGUAGCCGGUUUUACAAGUCCUCCGUUAAAUCCAGCUGCUUAACAGAUGGGCUGCGGAGGAUACUAUAAGACUAGGAGGCAGGAGAGGCAAGCGGUACUCAGUGGGUAGGGGUAAAAUCCGUUGAUCCAUUGAAGACCACCAGUGGCGAAGGCGGUUUGCCAGAAUGCGCUCGACGGUGAGGGAUGAAAGCUGGGGGAGCAAACCGG